GGCAAUACUAAAAUUUAGAUCGAAAAAGAAUUAUCGUAAUAGGAAGGACAUUACCUGGGUCAGAGUUCAGUGUCCUCAGCAAAACAAUUCGAUCGAUUGCGGAUUUUUUGUAUUGAGAUUUAUGAGAGAUAUCAUUGCGUUGAAUCGUAUAGACAUCCCAAAAAUGUACUUUGACGAAUACAAAUCUUACUCAAGAGCUCAUUUGGAUA